UACGUAGGGUGCGAGCGUUAAUCGGAAUUACUGGGCGUAAAGCGUGCGCAGGCGGUGAUGUAAGACCGAUGUGAAAUCCCCGGGCUUAACCUGGGAACUGCAUUGGUGACUGCAUUGCUCGAGUAUGGCAGAGGGGGGUGGAAUUCCACGUGUAGCAGUGAAAUGCGUAGAGAUGUGGAGGAACACCGAUGGCGAAGGCAGCCCCCUGGGCCAAUACUGACGCUCAUGCACGAAAGCGUGGGGAGCAAACGAGG
rnacentral:rRNA from 1 species